AUGUGAUCCAGUAUAUGGGGAUGAUUCCCACACAUUCAACGCCCGGUUUACAGGAAAAACAAAAGGGGGGAUAAAAUAUCCCCCCUUUGCUUAACU
rnacentral:sRNA from 1 species